GACGAACGCUGGCGGCGGGCCUAAUACAUGCAAGUAGGACGCAGUUGCGAACGGGUGAGUAACGCGUAGGUAACUGCCUCUUAGAGGGGGAUAACUAUUGGAAACGAUAGCUAAUACAGCCUACUAGUCGAUUGCACUGCGUUGUUGUGGAUAGUCGGUAGGGUAAUGGCCAACCUAGGUGACGAUACAUAGACGACCUGGGAGGGUGAGCGGCCACACUGGGACUGAGACACGGCCCAGACUCCUACGGGAGGGAGCAGUAGGGAUUCUUCGGAAAUGGGGGGAACCCUGACCGAGCAACGCCGCGUGAGUGAAGAAGGUUUUCGGUUCGUAAAGCUCUGUUGUUAAGGAAGCGGUACUUAACCAGAAAGGGACGGCUAACUACGUGCCAGCAGCCGCGGUAAUUC
rnacentral:rRNA from 1 species